GGGCUCGCGUACCAUUAGCUAGUUGGCGGGGUAAUGGCCCACCAAGGUUAUGAUGGUUAGCCGGCCUGAGAGGGUGUCCGGCCACACUGGGACUGAGACACGGCCCAGACUCCUACGGGAGGCAGCAGUGGGGAAUAUUGCGCAAUGGGGGAAACCCUGACGCAGCAACGCCGCGUGGAUGAUGAAGGCCUUCGGGUCGUAAAAUCCUGUCAGAUGGGAAGUUGACGGUACCAUCAAGGAAGCCCCGGCUAACUCCGUGCCAGCAGCCGCGGUAAUACGGAGGGGGCGAGCGUUGUUCGGAAUUACUGGGCGUAAAGGGCGCGUAGGCGGCCCUAUAAGUUAGAUGCUAAAGACCUCGGCUUAACCAAGGACCCGCAUCUAAUACUGUAGGGCUAGAGUACAGGAGAGGAGAGUGGAAUUCCCAGUGUAGCGGUGAAAUGCGUAGAU
rnacentral:rRNA from 1 species